rnacentral:tRNA from 1 species
GGGGUUGUGGCUCAGUGGUAGAGCACUUACUUAACAUGUGUGAGGCUCUGGGUUUCAUUCCCAGCACCACA